UAAAACGUAGGGGGCAAGCGUUACCCGGAAUUAUUGGGCGUAAAGGGCAUGUAGGCGGUUUGGUCCGUCGUUGGUGAAAGGCCCCAGCUUAACUGGGGAGCCGCUAACGAUACCACCAGACUAGAGGGCAGCAGAGGUGAGUGGAAUUCCCGGCGUAGCGUUGAUAUGCGUAGAGUUCGGGAGGAACACCAGUGGCGAAGGCGACUCACUGGGCUGUCCCUGACGCUAAGGUGCGAAAGCGUGGGGAGCAAACAGGAUUAGAUACCCUGGUAGUCCACGCCCUAAACGAUGGAUACUAGGUAUGGGGGGUAUCGACCCCCUCCGUGCCGGAGCUUACGCGUUAAGUAUCCCGCCUGGGGAGUACGGCCGCAAGGCUA
rnacentral:rRNA from 1 species